UUGCCUUUUCUUAGUUGUUUCUGUCUGUCUUGUAGCUCUUUAGUCCUUUUCUUUUCUUGCUCUCUUCCUUUGUAAUUUUGUUGACUGUUUGCAGCUGUUGGAGGCCGCACAAAUGUUUCUUAUAAUGAGGCAUAAUUGAAGCCUGUCAGUAACAAUAUGAACCUGUGGUCAAUUAAGCAGCUGACCAAUCGUUACCUCCUCCUUCUUGCUCUUGUUACCCAAUAAAUAAGAAGGGUUGUGGAAGCUCAGGGGCUGCCUUUCCUCACUAGAAGCAGGGAGCUCUCUUCUUCCCCAUGCUAGCCUUUCCUUAAAAUAGUUACUUUUGUUUUCUGUUAUGAUUUCUAUGUUCGUCCGUUCAUUCAGUCUUGUAAUGACAGUCUCAAGCAGUAACAGCAGUAACUGCUGUAAUGACGGUCUCAAGUAGUAGUAGUGGCAGUCGGCCACAUUUUAUAAUUUCUAUCUCUUUGCUGAUAUUCUCAUUUUGAUUAUGUAUCAUUUUCCUGAGCUCACUGAGCACCUUAAUGUCUGUCAUUUUAAAUUUUUUCACAGAUAAUCUAUAUACUUUCACUUCUUUAUGACCAGUUUCUAGAGUUUUAGUUUGGAAUGGACCACGUUUUAUUGUUUUACCAUGCGUCUUGUAACUUUUUGUUGAAAUUCAUUCAUUUGAAAAACAACCACUUCUCCCCAUCUUUGAAGAUAGACAUCAUACAGGGAGAAGACAGAAACUGGAAGUUCCUUCUCAAUUGGACUUUACUGAGCUAGCAGGAAACAAUAUGAUUGAAAAUGAAAAUAUCUUUUGCUUCACUUCUUAUACGACAGAGAAAGCGUAAUCCGGAACAAAGCCAUACCUGUCUCCUGCCUCCUGACCUGCCUCACACUCCUCUACCUGAAUGCACUUGUGAACUUCAGAAUUUUGAAGCUCUGUCUCCUGACAUCACAGAUAGACAGUAAAACUGUUAUCCAAAUCAGAAGUCUCCUCACUCUUAUCUUGAGCCAUACCUAGACCAAAAGGGUGACAUUAAGAAGAAGAGAGCACUGAACUUGGCAGGAAAAUCAGUAGGAGUAAGUGGCGGAGGCAUGGGACUGGCAGAGAUACGGCAGCCCCUGUGGAGAGGCUGUCUACAGAUAACAUAACAAUAACAACAGGAUCUGCGGGGUUCCUGCAUGCGUGUUGGCUUCACUGGAGAAACUAAUCAAGUGGUGCAGUUUGGACACAGAGACUGACACACAGGAAGAAUACCAUGUGAAGACUGGAGUUUUGCAUAGAGAAGCCAAGGAGCUACCAGAAGCUAGGAGAAUGGCCUGGAACAGACCUUUCCUUAGUGCCUUCAGAGAGAGCAUGGCGCUGCCAACAUCUUGAUCUCAGACUUCCAGCAUCCUGAAUUGUGAGAUAAAUUUCUGCUGUUUAAACCAUAUAAUUUGUGAUACUUUGCUAUGGCAACUGUCACAGCUAUUAUAAGCACCUAACCCUUUUUUUAAUCUUUUAAGAAACUUUUUGCUUUCAUCUACUUUUUUUGUUCUGGUUAUUCCAUAUUUUACUUUAAGAUUUAGUCUUCUGUCAAUAAAGCAAUAAUUUCAGAUCAAUUUCAAUAAAAAAUUAAUAAUGUCCAAACA
rnacentral:lncRNA from 10 species